rnacentral:rRNA from 1 species
AGUGAACGCUGGCGGCGUGCCUAAUACAUGCAAGUCGAACGGAGUGGCGCACGGGUGCGUAAUAUAUAGCUAAUAUGCCCCUUGCUGGAGGACAACAGUUAGAAAUGACUGCUAAUACUCCAUAGCAAGGGAUGAGAAUAUAUCGUAUCAGCUAGUCGGUGGGGUAACGGCCUACCGAGGCUAUGACGCGUAACUGGUCUGAGAGGACGAUCAGUCACAUUGGAACGGAGACACGGGCCAAACUCCGACUGGAUGAGGCAGUAGGGAAUUGUGCGCAAUGGGGGAAUCCCUGACGAAGCAACGCCGCGUGGAGGAUGACACUUUUAGGAGCGUAAACUCCUUUUGUUAGGGAAGCGGUACCUAACGAAUAAGCACCGGCUAACUCCGUGCCAGCAGCCGCGGUAAUUC